UCUUUUGCCUAGUGUUAUUCAUAUUUCUUUUUCUUUAUUUUCCUGCCUAGUUCUAGAUUAAGAAACUAUUUCAUUUUUUAUUAUGUAUUUCUCUACUUUGCUAUUUUAUAAUCUAUUUCCCUUAUUUUAAUAUUAAUACAUUUUAAAAUAUGUACAGAGCUUACAAAGUUUGAGGUUUAUCAAUACAUUUUUUUUAUGGCCACACUUUUGACGUAUGGAUGUUACUGAGCCAGGUAUUGAUUCUGAGCUGCAGCUGUGACCUCCACAGCUGUGGAAAUGCAGCUACUGGAGCCACUCUGGUGUUGAAAUCAUCAGAAAGCACCAUUGCUUGUGUUCCCUCAGUUCCACCCCUGUCUAGGGCCUGCUCCAGCUCAAGAAGCCCUGCCAAGUUGGCCUCAGGUGCAGCAUUCCCCAAAGACUAUACUUAGUCUAGUCCUGAUCUAGCUUCAGUCACUCCAUCGAGCUUGCCACUGGCACAACACCCACCAGGAUCUGCUCCCAGAUUGUGCCUGCUCCAGACCCAGCCACCCUUCCAAAGUACUUCAGUAUAGCCCUUCACAGGACUGCCUGUGGCCCAUGCCCACUCUAGCUCCCACAAGCCUUCCAAAGCUGCCAGGCACAAACAGUUUAUGUAAGGAAUGCUCUGACAUAAGUCCACUUACUUAAGACCAGGAGAGGAAGCUAUUUCACAUAAGGGAUAGAAACAAAAUCCUAAAGUUAAAUGAAAUGAAGAGAUAGAGUAAUAUGUUCCGAAUUAAAGAAUAAUAUAAAACCCCAGAAAAAAACCCAAGGAAAAUAGAUAUGUUUAUACGACAAAGUGUUCAAAGAAAUGGUCAUAAGGAUGGUUAUUGAACAUGGGAGAAGAAAAGAGGUACUUACUCAUUGAAAAUUUCAACAGACUUAGAAAUUAUAAGAACCAAUCAUAACAAAAUAAUACAUAACUGAAGUAAAAAUACAUGAAUGUAUCUCUUUUUUAUUAAAAUAGUUGAUUUACAAUGUUUCUUCAAUUUCUGUUGUACAGUAAUGUGACCUAAACACACACAGUUCCCCGUGCUGUACUGUAGGCCCCCAUUGUCAUCCAUUCCAAAUGUUACAGUUUGCAUCACCAACCCCAAACUCCCUAUCUAUCCCACUGCUUCCCUCAUCCUCUCAGCAACCACAAGUCUACUCUCAAUGUCUGUGAUUUUUUUCUUAUUUGUAGCUCAAAUGACCUGUGCCAUAUUUUAGAUUCCACAUAUAGGUGAUAUUAUAUGGUAUUUGUCUAUCUCUUUCUAACUUACUUGACUUAUGAGAGUCUCUAGUUCCAUCCAUGUUGCUGCAAAUGGCAUUAUUUUGUUCUUUUUAUGGCUGAGUAGUAUUCCAUUGUGUAUAUGUACCAUUUAUUCUUAAUCAACUCAUGUAUCAGAGAGACAUUUAUGUUGUUUCCAUGUCUUGGUGAUUGUGAAUAGUGCUGCUAUGAACAUAGAGGUGUAUGUGUCUUUUUGAAGGAAAAUUUUGUCUGGGUAAAUGCCUAGGAGUUGGGUUGCUGGAUCACAUGGUAGAUCUAUAUUUAGUUUUCCUAGGAAACUCAAUCCUGUCUUCUAUAGUGGUUGUACUAAUUUACAUUCUCACCCACAGUGCCAGAAGGUACUCUUUUCUCCAUACCCUCUUCAACAUUUGUUAUUUGUUGACAGCCAUUCUGCCCAUUGUGAAUGGGUACCUCAUCAUAGUUUUGAUUUGUAUUUCUUUAAUAAUUAGUGAUGUUGGGCAUUUUUUCAUGUUCCCACUGGCAAUCUGUAUGUCUUCUUUGGAGAAAUGUCUAGGAAUUCUGCCCAUUUUUCAGUUGGAUUUUUUGUUUUAUUGUUGAGUUGUAUGAGUUGUUUAUUAGGCCCUUGUCAGUUGCAUCAUUUGCAAAGAUUUUCUCCCAGUCUGUGGGUUGUAUUUUCAUUUUUUUAAAAUAGUUCCCUUCACUGUUGAAAAGCUUUGAGUUUAAUUAGGUCCCUUUAGUUAGUUAGUUAGUUAGUUAGUUUUUUUGUUUGUUUGUUUAUUGCUUUUUUUUUUUUUUUUUUUUUUUUUGCCAUUUCUUGGGCCGCUUCCACGGCAUAUGGAGCGGCCCUAGAAAAGGCAAAGACAAAAAAAAAAUUGACAGAACACUGUAAAUGAGCUAUAACAGAAAAAAACCAAAAAUCAUUAUUUUAAAAAUUAAUUAAUUAAUUAAUUAAUUAAUGUAGGAUCCUAUCUUUUGGCAUUUGCAUAUACCAGCUUUUCUUUCAACUAGAUUAGUCCCGUCUCAAAUGCCUGGCACAUGUACAUUUCUCCUGAGAAAUUUAUGUAACUUUCCGUCUUUUAAUUUGAUGAUGGUGAUAAUGAUAAUUUGCAAUAGAGUCCCUUCUUGAUUACCAGAGUAAACUCAGUAGUAAUCUGGGAAACUCAUAGGAAUAUGUGAUACGGUCAGUUUAUGUUAUUGGGAAACUUGCAGAUGCUAAUCAUUAAUUUGUUUAGAGUUUCUCUGUCCAUGAGAAUUAGAGAAUGAGGACAAUCUCAUAGUUAAUAUUGAAAGCAUGGAUUUUAAAUAUUCAAGCUAUUUUAAGUAGUUAAACACUCUUAAGCCUGAGACAGCUUAGUUUUCCUGAGAAUAAGGUAAUAAAUAAUGUUGAACUAAAAAUAUAAUUAUGGCAGAAAUGGUUAAUUAUCUAUCAAAACCCUUACUGUUUUUUGUGAAAAUUGAAGUGCAUUUCUAAUCCUAUCUUGCAGAUAGGUGUAGUUGUGAGAUUGAGUCUACAGGCAGGAAAGUGAAUGAAAGUGAUCUAUUCUGUUACAAUGGCUAGCCUAUAAAUAUCCUACCUGGCAGAGCUACCAUCAAACUGGAUCCCUGAAUAACAUCAUGAAGCAGCUUUAAUAUAACCUAGAAUAUUUAUGUCCUGAUAUAUGCAAUACACAUUUAUUGUAUGAGGUCUUUGUUUGCUUGUCUGUUUUUUAUAAGUGCAGCCUUUCCUAUCCUAACCAAUAUUCAGGAUAUAAGCUUUGAAUAGGAAUGCUGCUGUAACAGAAACUUAAUUUCUGUAACUCUAACAAACGCAGAGCAGAAAAUUUUGAAGUCAAAAAGAGGAGGACAUCUGCUAGGUGUUAGCAAAUCACUUGGUUAAAUUUUUCAACCUUGGAUAACUUGGAAGGCAGAUCAAAUACCUUAAGGAGUCUAAAGUUCUAUAUGGAGUGUUUUGGGGAAUCAGAUCAUUGUGUGUGGGAUUCUUUUUUUGUAUUUUGUAAGGUAUCAAAGUUUUGGAUAGAAUUGGGUUAUUUGCACAAAAAAUUUGGAAAAAUCUAAUGACUAAUGACUUCUUUACUCCAACAAAAAAAAGAAAGAAAAAGAAAAAGAAAAAAAGAAGAGUGAAAAAGAGUAAUAAAAAGACAACCUGAAGUGAGCAACCAAUAAAAUGUCUCAGUUUAAAAAAGGGACUCAUCCCUGUGGCAAAGAUCAGAUUAAGAAUACUGCCUUCCCUUCCAAGCCUUCCCUCCAGCACCAUGUAACAUCAAGGUAGUUGCAAUUAAAUUAAGUGAAAAUCAUGGGAACAAAUAAAGAAGGCAAUAAUAAGAACUCUAUAUAGAAGGGAAAUUUGGUUUGAAUGCUGGUAUGUGGAACUGACUGGAAACAAAUACAUCAGAAUCAUUUUAAGUUUUUUUUUAAGAGAUUAUUUUGCCCAACAGUAAAGAAAAAUAUCUUCCAUCCUGAAAAAGCCUGUGAGUCUAAAUCAGUGCUUCAACCUAUAAAUAUGCAUGGCAGGGUCUGGGUUGUUAAAGCUGUAAAUCUCCCAAGGAAGCACAGUUCCCAGCUCUCUUCAGAGGUAGCCAGAGCAGGGGCUUCAUAAUACCUGCCUUUAUGCUAUGCACCAGUGAAUUGCAGUGUGUUUUCUCUUUCUUCCUGAAUGAGUUUUAAUUGCAAUUAUGCAAUUUAUCCUGUGUGUGUGUGUGUGUGUGUGUGUGUGUGUGUGUGUGUGUACACACUUCCUCUACUUUUACCUACUUGGUGUCACUUCUCUUAUGGUUAGGAAAGGAGUUCUCAGGAGUGGAAUGCCUUCAGUGCAGCAGAUGUCAAUAAGGUGACAGAUGAUGAGAGCAUCUCUGUUCCUAAACACAGGACUCCCUUGGGAACGUCUAUAAAUAGCUAGCCAUAGAUUUGAUUGAGAUCAAGUAGUUAUGGAGAAGAGGACCAAGAAAAUAAUAAUGAUUGCUUGAUUUUGUAUAUACACAUGGCUGACAUUUGGAACAUUGGUUUAAAAUAUUCUCCUUAUAGUUAGUUAUGUGCUGCAUUUAAUCUAACUGCCCCAGUGGAUGGGGCACUGACAAGCACCUAGUGGGCAUUCAGUUGAAAUUUACUGUCAUUAUGACUGUAAAAUGAUCCAUUUUUUCUGUUUAUGCCUUCAAGGAAGAAACUCUCUGGCCCUUAGAUAGCUUGCUUUUUCUGUAUGAUGUAUAUUCAGAGUGCAUAAAACUAUAGUCAUUGUGACUUGUGCAUUUUGUAAGAGAAUUGAGAGAUUUCAUAUUAUAAAAAAUAAUACAAAAUUAGUCCUGAAUGAUGUUGUAUCAGUACCAUCAUCUUCAGCCAUAAUGAUAAUGCAUUGUGAAUAUACCAUUCAUUCAUUUGCUGGUUUUCCAUUUUUUUCACUUACUCUUCAUUCAUACCCUAAGUCGUUGUGAUUC
rnacentral:lncRNA from 1 species